rnacentral:rRNA from 1 species
UACGAAGGGGACUAGCGUUGUUCGGAUUUACUGGGCGUAAAGCGCGCGUAGGCGGAUCGCUAAGUCAGGGGUGAAAUCCCAGGGCUCAACCCUGGAACUGCCUUUGAUACUGACGGUCUGGAGAUCGGGAGAGGUUGGUGGAAUUCCGAGUGUAGAGGUGAAAUUCGUAGAUAUUCGGAGGAACACCAGAAGCGAAGGCGGCCAACUGGCCCGAUACUGACGCUGAGUGCGCGAAAGCCAGGGGAGCGAACGGG